GACGAACCGUGCGAACGUUAUUCGGAAUCACUGGGCUUAAAGCGCGUGUAGGCGGAUGGGAACGUCGGUAGUUGAAAGCCCCCCGGCUCAACCGGGGGAAGUGGUGCCGAAACGACCCGUCUGGAGGGACGUAGGGGGGACCUGGAACUUCCGGUGGAGCGGUGAAAUGCGUUGAGAUCGGAAGGAACGCCCGUGGCGAAAGCGAGGUCCUGGACGUCUACUGACGCUGAGACGCGAAAAGCUAGGGGGAAGCAAACGGGG
rnacentral:rRNA from 1 species